UGGGGGAUCGUCUAAUGGUAGGACGACGGGUUCUGGCCCCGUUAAUCCAGGUUCGAACCCUGGUCCCUCAGCCA
rnacentral:tRNA from 1 species